ACUUUGAUUAACUGAGAAAAACUGUGCAUGCGUUUUCUGUUUUUUCAUUUUCAAUCCAUCAUGAAUCUGCAGAUGAAUCUGCAGCGAGAAGACCCAGGAGAAGUCAACAGGGCCAACUGCCGGCAGGGUUGGUCCUUGGUGUAGGUUAAGCCUUCUCCAAGCUUCAUCUCACUUUAUAAUUCUACCUUGGGGCAGCCCAGGACAUAAUGACCAAUGUUCUGGGCAAACUCAGACAUUCAAAAUAAUAGCGACUUAAAGUAGAAGUUUAUUUCUCUAACACAGAUAAGCAGCCCAAGACUGGUGUGGCAGCCUGGCUCGGUGCAGUCCUCAGAAAUCCAGAUACUUUCUAUUUUUUUAAUCUGCUUUUGCCAAGGUCACCACGUGGCCCCAUUUGGCAGCUCUCACUCUGGCCAUUACAUCCCCUUAUCAGUCAUUAGGAUAGAAGAAGGGACUACAGGUGUGCACCAAGACUCCUUUAGGAAAGGUUCCCAGAAGCUCACAUGCAACAUUCCUUCUUCCAUUCCACUGGCCUGAAUUUGAUCACACUACCUCACUGUAUCAGUCUGCUUUCACGCUGCUAUAAAGAACUACCUGAGACUGGGUAAUUUAUAAAGGAAAGAGGUUUAAUUGACUAGCAAUUCUGCAAGGCUGGGGAAGCCUCAGGAAACUUACAAUCAUAGUGGAAAGCAAAGCGGAAGCAAGGCACGUCUUACAUGGUAGCAAGACUUGAAAAGUGAGAGAACAAGGAGGUGUGCCACACUUUAAAACCAUCAGCUUUCAUGAGAACUCACUCACUAUCACAAGAACAGCAUGGGGGAAGCCACCCCCAUGAUCCAAUAACCUCUCACCAGUUCCCUCCCUCCACACGUGGGGAUUACAAUUCAAGAUGAGAUUUGGGUGGGGACACAGAGACAAACCAUAUCACCCAUCUACCUGCAAAGGAAGCAGGAGAAGGUAAACUAGACUCUGAGUAGCCAUUUGACCAGUUGGAGUUUGGGGAUUCUAUUACUGAGAAAAGAAGAAUGGAUGUUGGUGACCAUUUUUGUUGGGGGCUGAUAUCUGAACAUCUCCUCUGCCUCCUGCUCUCUUCUCAUACCUUUCUUAUGACCCCAUUUUUCUAUUCUCCUUUUAUUCUCUUGACCAGAUAGGAUCUUUAAAUGUUUUUAAUGAUUUUCAUUGAGCUGGUGAGCCACACAUGGGUCAAUUUGUCCUAAAUUUGUCUAGGCCCUGAGGGAUGCUGUGACCCAGAUGAGGCCCAUGUCUCAAUCCAUUCUGGGAUUCCAGGACUAGUCCUUGGUAAAAUUGUGGAAGGCAAAGAGAGAUGGGUCUUGUCUUUACUCUGAUAUCACUGUUAGCUGCAACUCUUACACACACACACACACACACACACACACACACACACACAUCCUGUUAGGCUGCCUUACCCAUAUCAAAUCUUUCCUAUCAUAUUUUUUCACAUCAGUACUCAUUAGAGGUCACUGGCACCUGACUCCAUUAUCUCCCAUCCCCCAUUCAUUAGGGUUUUCAAGAGUCUGCUAAAUGACACUCACAGCUACAGGAUAACUAUAAAUCUUUUCAAACUUUUCUUUGCUUAGAGACUUUUGAAAAACAUACUUAUAUUAAAAUUGGCAUAAGAAAGAUGUUUUAGCCAUAUUUAUAAACAUAUAGAAAUUUGAGUAGGUGACAAAUCAUCCAUAAACCUGAUAUCCCUAAUAAGGGAAACCAAGUAAAAAAGACCUUUACAUAGUGUUCAAUAUAGAUUUGCC
rnacentral:lncRNA from 10 species